UAUUCACUUACUGUCUCUUCAUCAGGAAGAAUGGGGCAUUUCCUGAGUUGGAAAGCGGUUUUCUGGAACUGGAACAGAGGAUAAGACAUUUUUCAGAGAAGAGGAUGGUAUUGCAAGAGGUGCUACUGGCAUUUAAAGAGAUUUUGCAGCUGGAGCUGGGGAACGAUGCAGACCCAUCUUUCUUAUCUGGGUGCCAAGGAAGGUCAUCAUUCUACUCCAGAUUUCUACAUCUUCACAGAAGAUGUGGAGG